rnacentral:tRNA from 1 species
GCGGAUGUGGCGGAAUGGCAGACGCAGCAGACUCAAAAUCUGCCGCUCGCGAGGGCGUAAGGGUUCGAGUCCCUUUAUCCGCA